rnacentral:rRNA from 1 species
UGAGGAAUAUUGGUCAAUGGGCGGAAGCCUGAACCAGCCAAGUCGCGUGAGGGAAGACGGUCCUAUGGAUUGUAAACCUCUUUUGCAGGGAGCAAGGUCUGUUACGAGUAACAGGUUGGGAGUACCCUGAGAAAAAGCAUCGGCUAACUCCGUGCCAGCAGCCGCGGUAAUACGGAGGAUGCGAGCGUUAUCCGGAUUUAUUGGGUUUAAAGGGUGCGUAGGCGGGCUGGUAAGUCAGCGGUAAAAAAUGCGGUGCUCAACGCCGUAGUGCCGUUGAAACUGCCGGUCUUGAGUGAGCGAGAAGUAUGCGGAAUGCGUGGUGUAGCGGUGAAAUGCAUAGAUAUCACGCAGAACUCCGAUUGCGAAGGCAGCAUACCGGCGCUCAACUGACGCUGAGGCACGAAAGCGUGGGGAUCGAACAGGAUUAGAUACC